rnacentral:lncRNA from 1 species
CCAGCCCCUCGUCCCACCCUGGCUUAGGACCCCCAUCGCGGAUCCUAAGAACCUUAGGACCCACUUGGAGGACUGUGGGUAUUAGGUGUCCAAGAAGAAAGCUCAAAUCUGCUGACGGCAGGUACCUUACUUGGGAUUUACUAUCCGACAGGGGUCCGAACGCACCCGGGAACAGAAAGAAAGCAGGACAUUUGCAAUCUACCGCAGCCUAAGGGCAGAAA